GACGACGCUGGCGGCGUGCCUAACACAUGCAAGUCGAACGGAGAUUAUUGAUGAAGCUUGCGAUUUAAUAAUCUUAGUGGCGGACGGGUGAGUAACGCGUGGGUAACCUGCCCAUAAGAGGGGGAUAACAGCUGGAAACGGCUGCUAAUACCGCAUACGCUUUCCGGGACACAAGUGCCGGAAAGGAAAGAUGGCCUCUACAUGUAAGCUAUCACUUAUGGAUGGACCCGCGUCUGAUUAGCUAGUUGGUGGGGUAGAAGCCUACCAAGGCGACGAUCAGUAGCCGGCCCGAGAGGGUGGACGGCCACACUGGGACUGAGACACGGCCCAGACUCCUACGGGAGGCAGCAGUGGGGAAUAUUGCGCAAUGGGGGAAACCCUGACGCAGCGACGCCGCGUGAGCGAAGAAGGCCUUCGGGUCGUAAAGCUCUGUUGUAAGGGACGAAUGUCGCGAUCAAUAAUACGGAUUGCGAAUGACGGUACCUUACCAGCAAGCCCCGGCUAACUACGUG
rnacentral:rRNA from 1 species